AUUCGCUGAGGGCGGAACAGGCAGCCGCCGCACCUUUAUGGUCUUAAAGAGAUGCAGAUUGUCACCUGCCAGCGGAA
rnacentral:ncRNA from 1 species